AGAAUCAACGCUGGCGGCGUGCCUAACACAUGCAAGUCGAACGAGAAAGUGGAGCAAUCCAUGAGUAAAGUGGCGCACGGGUGAGUAACACGUGACUAACCUACCUUUUAGUGGGGGAUAACCUAGGGAAACCUGGGCUAAUACCGCAUAAUACCUACGGGUCAAAGCAGCAAUGCGCUGAAAGAGGGGGUCGCGGUCGAUUAGUUAGUUGGCAGGGUAAUGGCCUACCAAGACUGUGAUCGAUAUCCGGCCUGAGAGGGCGCACGGACACACUGGAACUGAAACACGGUCCAGACUCCUACGGGAGGCAGCAGUGGGGAAUUUGCGCAAUGGGGGAAACCCUGACGCGGCAACGCCGCGUGGAGGAUGAAGUCCCUUGGGACGUAAACUCCUUUCGAUCGGGACGAUAAUGACGGUACCGGAAGAAGAAGCCCGGCUAACUUCGCGCCAGCAGCCGC
rnacentral:rRNA from 1 species